rnacentral:misc_RNA from 1 species
UGAAAAAAAAAAAAAAAAAUUGUUUGGCAGUUAUUAUAGUAUGGAUGGUGGUGCAUAUAACAUGCUAAAAUGCAUUGUUUGUGGUUGUUACAGCUUGCUAGCUUGCCUUGUCUAGUAUGUUUCCAUAUUAUUCAAUACAAUAAAAUUCUGCUUGUUUAUGGAAUUAACGUGAUAUUUUAUGCCUGUGAUGAGGUUUCUUUUUGCUCUUACAUUUUGAAGUCUGAUGAUGUGAAUCUGGCUAUAUGUUUCCUUGAUGGUGUACAAUGGAGCAAAAUAUGAAUCAAAGAACAUUUAAAGUAAAAGUUAAGCAUGCAAGGCUAUAUGUAAAGCAAUAUAGUGUAAUGGCCAUUCCAAUGCAUCAGAGUCAACUAUACAUGCAUUUCUUUUACUUGUUAAUGAUAUUCAGGGUGCUUUGAAUUUUAUAUUUUCCUUUCUAUCUUCCUGAAUCAAUGGUUGGGGCUGCCUAGAGCCAUUCUCUUUGUUGUGUUUUUUCUAUUUUACGUUACAAGAAGAGCAAGCUAGUGAUCGAUUGGUUUGGAAAACUUAUAACUUCAUAGUGAAGCUCCUAUUUGUUUAAGAUCAGGCAUAACUGCAGUUUUCUAUUGGAUACUAAUCUAAAAUUUAAUGGAUAAUUUUCCAAGGAAGAAAUGUGGGAAAUAGAGAACUAAAAAGAAAAGCGUAGAGAUUAACUGAAGAAAAAGGAAAAGAAAAGUUUGGUUGCUUUGAUUUUGACAUGAUAAUUUCUAGGCCUGAACGACAGCAGGCAGGAUAAAUCAUAUCCUCUUGUUCUAAUUAGAUGACCUUGAAUUUUCUACUUUUUUGACUGUGUUCCUAUGGUUCUUGACAUUAAUAUAUGAAAUCAAAGGUCCACGCUAUAUAGCAGACAUCUGAGGUUCAUAUCUUGUACUGAACUACUGAUAAUCUCCCUCGAAAUUUCAUGGUUUGUGAGUUUGUUCCUUUCUUGAUGGUAAUUUUCCAGUUGUUAAACUUAUUUGUGCAAGGAUGAAAUGAGCUUAUGGUAUUAAUAUACAGAUUUUCACAUAAGUUGGGCAUAUAAUGAAUGGCAUCUGCAUAUAAUGGCAUUUGUUUUAUUCAGGCGUAUGAUUCAUGGAAUUUAAAAUUAUCAGUAGGGUAAUCUACCAAUGGUUGCAAAUAUUAGGGUCUAUUUGCUUGUAGAAAAUAUUUUUCUGUUUUAUAUUUUCCAUUAUCAUAGAAAAUUUUUAUUUUCAUUUUCUAUGGGAAACUUAGAAAACAUGGUUAUUUGUUAAAAACAUAUUUUUUUCCAAUGUUAGAAAAAAAAAAAAAAAGAACAUGUAUUAUUAUUUUUUAUUGUUACAGAGUUUAAAACUUAUAAGAUAUAUUAAUUUUUUUUUCUUUUA